GAUGAAGAACGCAGCGAAAUGCGUUACUUGGUGUGAAUUGCAGAAUCCCGUGAACCAUCGAGUCUUUGAACGCAAGUUGCGCCCGAAGCCAUUAGGCCGAGGGCACGCCUGCCUGGGCGUCACACGUCGUUGCCCCCCCAUCUACUCCUUCGGGAUUGCGGGGGGCGGAUGAUGGCCUCCCGUGCGCCUCGUCGCGCGGUUGGCAUAAAUGCCAAGUCCUCGGCGACGCACGCCACGACAAUCGGUGGUUGCGAAACCUCGGUUGCCCGUCGUGUGCGGUCGUCGCGCAUCGAGGGCUCGAAAAAAUUGCCGGGCUCCGGCUCGGCUUUCAACGCGACCCCAGGUCAGGCGGGGUUACCCGCUGAAUUUAAGCAUAUCAAUAAGCGGAGGA
rnacentral:misc_RNA from 1 species